rnacentral:rRNA from 1 species
UACGUAGGGUGCGAGCGUUGUCCGGAAUUAUUGGGCGUAAAGGGCUCGUAGGCGGUUUGUCGCGUCGGGAGUGAAAACCCAGGGCUUAACUCUGGGCUUGCUUUCGAUACGGGCAGACUAGAGGUAUGCAGGGGAGAACGGAAUUCCUGGUGUAGCGGUGAAAUGCGCAGAUAUCAGGAGGAACACCGGUGGCGAAGGCGGUUCUCUGGGCAUUACCUGACGCUGAGGAGCGAAAGUGUGGGGAGCGAGCAGG